UCUGACUUGUGUUCUUCAUAACUUCAAUUAUUCGCUAUUUUUGGUGAUUAAUUGGCGAUUAAAAUGAAAAUGAAAAUUACAAAUUCUAAAAUUGAUUAAUUUUUUUAAACAUUUUCAGCUUUGAAAUCAGAAAAUUAUGGUGUAUUUUUUCAAUCCUCUGCGACUUUUGGGUUGGUCAAGUAACACAUAGCCUUCCAAUUACCGAGGGUGGGGAUGUGGACAUUUUGAGGAGGCCAGUGCUUUCAAUUCGGAUUGUUGUGUUUUGUCUUCAUGAAUUUUAUCAAUUUUAAGUGAAAUAAUGGCAGGCUACCGCCGCGUUAGUUACUAUGAUCUUUGUCGGCUGUGCACCGCGAGUGAUGGGACGAAAUUGCACAUUUUCCGUGAGGAAGGACGUAGGAGACAAAUCCCCACCAAGAUACAGAUGUGCCUCCCUCUCCAGAUCAAUGAAGACGACUCAUUACCCAAAAGCAUUUGCAACAAUUUGUGUGGAUAAAUUGGAGUCUUUCUACAAUUUUCGGGAAUCCUGUCUCACAGCUGAAGCAAUGCUUGAAGGUUUUCAAGAUUUUAAACGGGAAGGAAUGGUAUAUGUCAAAGACGAGAGUCUAGUCAAGGCAGAAACCUCUCAACUCCCAAAAGAGGAGGACUCUCCAAAUAAUGUCCAGGUUGUGGAAACUAGUUGUAUGGUGCCGGUUUCUGUGGAAGGACUUCAGAAUCUAGUGCAAGCAGCUGCUGUCCACAUCAUCAAUGACCCAGCCUCCGACAAAGGAUUGCAGUAUAAAAUUCCAAUUCCACUACAGUUACAAUGCGGCACAACAGUGAUUGACUCAUCACAACAGAUACGAUAUAACAUCGCAGAAGUCAGUCCUCAGACGCCAAAAGUGUGCAGGAAGCGUCUCAACUUCUGCAAACUGCAAACCACAAAGAAUCACAAAACUUCUCAGAAAAAGCAUCACACAAUUCGGGCACUCAAACAGACAGUAACCGGGAGGUAG
rnacentral:lncRNA from 1 species